rnacentral:lncRNA from 10 species
AUUGACAGUGAUGCCAAGGGCUGUCAGGAUGCCUCCUAGAAAUGUGGAUUAAAUCUAGACCCUGAGACUGUGUCCAACUCUGUGGUCUGACAACACCUUUAUGCUGUCAGUACUCAAUCAGUGCUCUUCCCCUUCAUCAUUGUCAGUAAUAUCAUCCUCCCACCAGUAAAUGUGAACUCUGCCUCACAGCCAUGGCAGCUCCCACAGACCUGAAGUGUGAACCCAUCUCUGGGCUUCAGUUGGCAAUUGAAUUGCAGCAGAAACCAUACCAACUCCUGAUGUGUGAAAAAGACGAGGAUCUGAAUGGCACUGUGCUUUAUCGGCCAUAAACACACAGUUUAUGAAGAAAAAAACUUAAAGGAAGGAAUAAAUGACUCUUUAGGUUCACUACUAAUGGCUAUUCUUUUUCUCUCUAAUUUUAAAAGUAGAACGUGGUCAUAGACAAUUGGGAAAAUUACAGAAAGGCAUAAAGAGAAAUACAAAAAUGACCCAUAACAGCACCACGCAGAGAUAACCACAGUUAACAUUUUAUUGUUUCUCUUUCCUGUCACUCUUGCAUACAGAUAAAUACAUAUUUUACAUAAAAGUAGAUCACAGAAAAUAGAUGACCCACUUUUUAUUCAUCUUUAAUAUUACGGGCACUAACCCAGAUCAUUUUCAUUAAAUAUUAUUCAGAAACAUGAUUUUUAUACAUUAGGGUAGUCCACUUUCACAUUUCUCUCUGUCCUGUUUGGCAUCCAUGAGUCCAAAAUAAGGACCUCAUAUUAAGGAUAGUUGUUGCUAAAACGUUGACUUUCCAUCCUCAAUGUUUGUCAUACACUGGGUCCUCUAGAAAGUGUCUGUGAGAGAGGGUAUGUGGGCUAUUAACUGAUUGGAAACACAGUUGAAGGAAGCAGUAGCAGAGGAUGAGGGGAGAGAGGCUGGGAAGGAUGGAGAGUCAAUACAAUAAAGCAUUUUCCAGCAGGUUGCCACAGGACUGCCUGGGAAGCUCUAUAAUCAGAAUCGAAAGAUCAUCCAUAGGAAGACGGAAGGAGACUAUCCACAUGCAACCAUCUGCUGCUGGAUGAAGAUUCACUCCACAGAGUGCCAGUGUUCUUGCAUUUCUGGGUUGCACAUGCACGAACACCAGGUGGAGUCUCUUGCCAUGGGCCUGAGGCAAAGCCCUGUCAGGCUGGAGCUGUGUGGAGUCAUGGGAGCUGGUGCACAGCAGCACCUUGGUAAUACAGAGAUAAAAGAUCAGCCUUUAUCCCAAAGAGGCUCCUAGUCCCAACAUUUUGGUAAGGCUUUUUUCCCUCUCUUUGGUUUUGGGGCUCCUUAGUUUAGAUGUAUUUCUUUCUAAUUUUUCUUUUCUCCUUUAGUCAACGAAUAAGGAAGAAGAUUGUGUAUUUUUUCCUUUUAGCAAGUAGACAAAAGUCUUCAUUCUACACCUAGAUUAUUUUUGGAAGUGGACUAGAGAAGUAACUAGGGAAAAGAAAUAGCAGCUAUGAUGUAGGCAAAUCAAAAGGCAGUGAAAUAGAUAGAUAAGCUUUAUCUUCUUUUCUAACUCUAAGACUUCAUGGUACCUAUUGAUACGGUUAGGUUUUGUGUCCCCACCCAAGUCUCAUCUGAUUUAUACUCCCUAUAAUCCCCACAUGUCAAAGGAGAGAUGAGGUGGAGGUAAUUGGAUCAUGGGGGCAGUUUCCCCCUGCUGUUCUUGUGAUAGUGAGUUCUCACGAGAUCUGAGUUUUUCAAGUGUUUGGCAUUUCCUUCUGCAUUCAUUCUCCCUCCUGCUGCCUUAUGAAGAACAUGCCUUGCUUCCGCUUGCCUUCUGCCACGAUUAUAAGUUCCCUGAGGUCUUCCCAGCCUUGCAGAAAGGCACCUCUGAGGCAUUAAAGAACAUUUGGGGAAGCUGAAAUCCAGGAGCUACACCAGCAGCAGAAGUGGCCACUCCUCCAAUCACCUGGCAGUCUUCCCAGGCAGAAGGUAGAAGAUGCCUGGCCUCCUUGCCAGCACUCCUUCCUUGAGCAUCCCAGUGGCCAAACCACCACCAGCCGACUCUACCCAAAGUGCCUGGUUGCAGGAGCCAGGCACUCAGGUGGGAAAUACCUUGAUUCUUUAAAACCUUUGAUGCAAAGUUAGCUGCAUUCUGUCACAAGGAAAAUGCCAUGCCAGGGACAUAUUUAUAUGACAAUAAACUUUUAGUGCCUUAGAAAGUUGCUGAAUAAAACUAAAAUCAGAAUAAAAUUAAUCAGAUGCUAACAUUUUGGAGAGCAGGUAAGUUUUCCUAGCUCUGUUAGUGGUUUCCUUCACUCCAGACCUAUCUUCUGGCCUUCCGUGACAAUGAAGCCCUUGGUAACAUCAUGCUUAUUACCCCCGAAUUAGCUGAUGUAUGAGGAGCUGUCACCGUUCCUUAGUAUUCACAUUAAAAUCUCAGGGCGGAAUGACCAGAGCAUGCCGGGUGCUUUAUGUGGCAGUCAAGGCAGCGAGGCUGCUGGAGGCUUUCAAGGGGAACUUUCCACCCGUGGGGCGUGGCGAGGCCUUUGUGUAACUGUGAACAGGGCAGAGGUCCCAGGCUGGGAGCGCGAAGGCCAGAAAGGUAAACUCAAUCGGCAUUUUAAAGCGCUUGCUCUAGUGAUUGAGCACAUAGCCCUCUAGAAGCAGCCCUACUUCGCCCUCCAAAGAGAAUUUCGUGUUUCAAAAAAAAGUAACGAUUUCCUCUGGGGAAGAGAUCUGCAGUCCUGGGGUCCCUUUCUCCUGGUGCCAAUGGUAGAGUUGGGGAGAAAGUUCCCGAUAGAGAGCAUAGGAGGAAAUGCGCCAGCUGUGCUUGCCUUAGAGACAUAUGUGAGUUGAGCUCUCUCUCUCCUCUCUCUCUCUCUCUCUCUCUCUGUGUGUGUGUGUGUGUGUGUGUGUGUGUGUGUGUGUGUGUGUAGGUGGCGAGUGGAGAGGGUUAAGGCUGCUUCUUUGCUGGGGGGAAAAGAAAGGCAAAAGUGUGAGGAUACACAGAGCAGGGAACGAGUGGAGUCCCCUCUCCACCGGGGCAGUGUGAGAACGGAGGGCGUGCAGUCAGGGGGUCCUAGGACUUGGGUGGGUGCUGCAGAAGUGACCAGGAGGGCUGACAGGGUGGAGAUGCAAUCAUCAAGCUCCAAAUCAAUCAUCCACCCCUUCAGAGUCCCUGUCCUCCAUUAAGACAAAAAAAUGUUUAAAACAUAUUGGGGGCAGAGGAAGAGUGAAGAGAUUGGACCACGUUAGCUGCUUAGUCUAGUUCCCUCCUCCACAAGGCAAUCGGAUGACCCCAGGAUCUCAAUGUUUAGGAAAGUCGUAGGAGCCCUCACUGGGAGGCACAUUUUUAGUCCAGAGGCACGACAUUUGAUGGUUUAAUCUUCACACUACAAACUAGCCUUGGGACGUUAUAUAAACCAUGUUAACCUCGAUGUGCCUCAGUUUCCUCUUUGUCCCAGGAGAGUAACGCGUUCUCUGUCUUCACAGGGAUGUGGUGCGGGUGAGACUCAAUGCACUGUGCGAAAGCUCUCCCAAGCCAGCAAGCACCACGCUCUCCCCGCGGCAGGAAAGUACGUUGGUGUCAUCCUAGAGCCCCAGAGGGCUGAGGGAAGACUCGAGCUCUAAAAUUAGCCGCUUCCAGGCCCGGCGCCGGGAAUGCCCUCCAGUUCGCCGCGCCUCCUCCGCCGCCCCCUCCCGCGCGCCCCCUCUCCCCUGCGCCACGCUCCUAGAUCGCUAGUCAUCCCCGCCGCCGAGGCUCCUCUCCCCCUCGCCCUUUUCGCUCGCGGUUUGGGAGGAGGAGACUGCGAGAGACAAGCGCGAGGGGGAGACUGGAGAGGGGCUUGGCCGUGCGUCGGCGUCGGCUGUGAUGGGGAGCCCGGAGCAGCCAGGCGGCGAGCAGUAGCGGCGGCGGCUGCAGCUCGGAGCAGACAGGAGAGCCGGCGCUCCUCCCCGCAGGCUGCGCUGUGAACUGGCCUGCGGAUUGGGAU